GGACUACUGGGGUAUCUAAUCCCGUUUGCUCCCCUAGCUUUCGCGCCUCAGCGUCAGUCGCAGGCCAGGACGCCGCCUUCGCCACUGGUGUUCCUCCGGGUCUCUACGCAUUUCACCGCUACUCCCGGAGUUCCACGUCCCUCUCCUGCACUCGCAUUCCUGCCGUUACACAUGACCCUCCCCAGUUGAGCCGGGGGCUUUCACACAUGUCGUACAGAACCGCCUACGCGCUCUUUACGCCCAGUAAUUCCGGACAACGCUCGCCUCCUACGUAUUACCGCGGCGGCUGGCAC
rnacentral:rRNA from 1 species